rnacentral:rRNA from 1 species
AACGAACGCUGGCGGCAUGCCUAACACAUGCAAGUCGAACGAGACCUUCGGGUCUAGUGGCGCACGGGUGCGUAACGCGUGGGAACCUGCCCUUAGGUUCGGAAUAACUCCCCGAAAGGGGUGCUAAUACCGGAUAAUGUCUUCGGACCAAAGAUUUAUCGCCUUUGGAUGGGCCCGCGUUGGAUUAGCUAGUUGGUAGGGUAAAAGCCUACCAAGGCGACGAUCCAUAGCUGGUCUGAGAGGAUGAUCAGCCACACUGGGACUGAGACACGGCCCAGACUCGUACGGGAGGGAGCAGUGGGGAAUAUUGGAAAAUGGGCGAAAGCCUGAUACAGCAAUGCCGCGUGAGUGAUGAAGGCCUUAGGGUUGUAAAGCUCUUUUAACCGGGAUGAUAAUGACAGUACCGGGAGAAUAAGCUCCGGCUAACUACGUG